rnacentral:rRNA from 1 species
CCACGGGUAUGCGUCAGCAGCGGCGAGUGAAGCGGCAAAAGCUCAAAUUUGAAAUCUGGCGUCUUUGGCGUCCGAGUUGUAAUUUGAAGAAGGUAUCUUUGGGCCCGGCUCUUGUCUAUGUUCCUUGGAACAGGACGUCACAGAGGGUGAGAAUCCCGUGCGAUGAGAUGACCCGGGUCUGUGUAAAGUUCCUUCGACGAGUCGAGUUGUUUGGGAAUGCAGCUCUAAGUGGGUGGUAAAUUCCAUCUAAAGCUAAAUAUUGGCGAGAGACCGAUAGCGAACAAGUACAGUGAUGGAAAGAUGAAAAGAACUUUGAAAAGAGAGUGAAAAAGUACGUGAAAUUGUUGAAAGGGAAGGGCUUGAGAUCAGACUUGGUAUUUUGCAUGCUGCUCUCUCGGGGGCGGCCGCUGCGGUUUACCGGGCCAGCAUCGGUUUGGAGCGGCAGGAUAAUGGCGGAGGAAUGUGGCACGGCUUCUGCUGUGUGUUAUAGCCUCUGACGAUACUGCCAGCCUAGACCGAGGACUGCGGUUUUUACCUAGGAUGUUGGCAUAAUGAUCUUAAGUCGCCCGUCUUGACCCCCCGGACCA